rnacentral:rRNA from 1 species
UGAUCCAUGGCUCAGAUUGAACGCUGGCGGCAUGCCUAACACAUGCAAGUCGAACGGUAACAGGUCUUCGGAUGCUGACGAGUGGCGGACGGGUGAGUAAUGCGUAGGAAUCUGUCUUUGAGUGGGGGACAACCCAGGGAAACUUGGGCUAAUACCGCAUAAGCCCUGAGGGGGAAAGCGGGGGAUCUUCGGACCUCGCGCUGGAAGAGGAGCCUACGUCUGAUUAGCUAGUUGGUAGGGUAAAGGCCUACCAAGGCGACGAUCGGUAGCUGGUCUGAGAGGACGACCAGCCACACUGGGACUGAGACACGGCCCAGACUCCUACGGGAGGCAGCAGUGGGGAAUUUUUCGCAAUGGGGGCAACCCUGACGAAGCAAUGCCGCGUGAAUGAAGAAGGCCUUCGGGUUGUAAAGUUCUUUCGUGGAGGACGAAAAGG